GAUGAACGCUGGCGGCGUGCCUAAUACAUGCAAGUCGAGCGAACAGACGAGGAGCUUGCUCCUUUGACGUUAGCGGCGGACGGGUGAGUAACACGUGGGUAACCUACCUAUAAGACUGGGAUAACUUCGGGAAACCGGAGCUAAUACCGGAUAAUAUUUCGAACCGCAUGGUUCGAUAGUGAAAGAUGGCUUUGCUAUCACUUAUAGAUGGACCUGCGCCGUAUUAGCUAGUUGGUAAGGUAACGGCUUACCAAGGCAACGAUACGUAGCCGACCUGAGAGGGUGAUCGGCCACACUGGAAGUGAGACACGGUCCAGACUCCUACGGGAGGCAGCAGUAGGGAAUCUACCGCAAUGGGCGAAAGCCUGACGGAACAACGCCGCGUGAGUGAUGAAGGUCUUCGGAUCGUAAAACUCUGUUAUUAGGGAAGAACAAACGUGUAAGUAACUGUGCACGUCUUGACGGUACCUAAUCAGAAAGCCACGGCUAACUACGUG
rnacentral:rRNA from 1 species